rnacentral:rRNA from 1 species
UACAGAGGGUGCAAGCGUUAAUCGGAGUUACUGGGCGUAAAGGGCGCGUAGGCGGAUAUGUAAGUGAGAUGUGAAAUCCCUGGGCUUAACCUAGGAACUGCAUCUUAUACUGUAUGUCUAGAGUAUUGUAGAGGGUAGUGGAAUUUCCGGUGUAGCGGUGAAAUGCGUAGAGAUCGGAAGGAACACCAGUGGCGAAGGCGGCUACCUGGACAAAUACUGACGCUGAGGCGCGAGAGCGUGGGGAGCAAACAGG